rnacentral:rRNA from 1 species
UACGGGGGGGCAAGCGUUGUUCGGAAUUACUGGGCGUAAAGGGCUCGUAGGCGGCCAACUAAGUCGGAUGUGAAAUCCCCAGGCUUAACCUGGGAACUGCAUCCGAUACUGGAUGGCUUGAAUCCGGGAGAGGGAUGCAGAAUUCCAGGUGUAGCGGUGAAAUGCGUAGAUAUCUGGAGGAAUACCGGUGGCGAAGGCGGCAUCCUGGACCGGCAUUGACGCUGAUGAGCGAAAGCUAGGGAGCAAACGGG